rnacentral:rRNA from 1 species
GCAUACGUCCUACGGGAGAAAGAGGGCCUCUGCUUAGCAAGCUCUCACUUCCAGGAUGAGCCCAGUCCGAUUAGCUAGUUGGUAGGGUAAAGGCCUACCAAGGCCACGAUCGGUAGCUGGUCUGAGAGGAUGAUCAGCCACACUGGGACUGAGUACACGGCCCAGACUCCUACGGGAGGUCAGCAGUUGGGGAAUAUUUGGACAAUGGGCGCAAGCCUGAUCCAGCAAUGCCGCGUGUGUGAAGAAGGCCUGCGGGUUGUAAAGCACUUUCAGUGGGGAAGAACAGGUUCGGGUCAAUACCCCGGAGCCCUGACGUUACCCACAGAAGAAGCACCGGCUAACUCCGUG